UACGUAGGUGUCAAGCGUUUGUCCGGAUUUAUUGGGCGUAAAGCGCCCGCAGGCGGCUUGCCAAGUUCGAUGUGAAAUCUCCCGGCUCAACUGGGAGGGUGCGCCGAAGACUGGAAGACUAGAGUAUGGGAGAGGUAAGCGGAAUUCCUGGUGUAGCGGUGAAAUGCGUAGAUAUCAGGAGGAACACCUGCGGUGUAGACGGCUUACUGGACCAUCACUGACGCUGAGGCACGAAAGCGUGGGUAGCAAACAGG
rnacentral:rRNA from 1 species